rnacentral:rRNA from 1 species
GUGGGGAAUAUUGCGCAAUGGGCGAAAGCCUGACGCAGCGACGCCGCGUGAGGGAUGAAGGUUUUCGGAUCGUAAACCUCUGUCAGAAGGGAAGAAACUACGUUGUGCUAAUCAGCAGCGUACUGACGGUACCUUCAAAGGAAGCACCGGCUAACUCCGUGCCAGCAGCCGCGGUAAUACGGAGGGUGCAAGCGUUAAUCGGAAUUACUGGGCGUAAAGCGCACGUAGGCUGUAGUGUAAGUCAGGGGUGAAAUCCCACGGCUCAACCGUGGAACUGCCUUUGAUACUGCACAACUUGAAUCCGGGAGAGGGUGGCGGAAUUCCAUGUGUAGGAGUGAAAUCCGUAGAUAUCUGGAGGAACAUCAGUGGCGAAGGCGGCCACCUGGACCGAUACUGACACUGAGGUGCGAAAGCGUGGGUAGCGAACAGGAUUAGAAACCCUGUAGUCC